rnacentral:rRNA from 1 species
CCUACGGGAGGCAGCAGUGGGGAAUAUUGCACAAUGGGCGCAAGCCUGAUGCAGCGACGCCGCGUGAGGGAUGACGGCCUUCGGGUUGUAAACCUCUUUCAGUAGGGAAGAAGCGAAAGUGACGGUACCUGCAGAAGAAGCGCCGGCUAACUACGUGCCAGCAGCCGCGGUAAUACGUAGGGCGCAAGCGUUAUCCGGAAUUAUUGGGCGUAAAGAGCUCGUAGGCGGUUUGUCGCGUCUGCCGUGAAAGUCCGGGGCUCAACUCCGGAUCUGCGGUGGGUACGGGCAGACUAGAGUGAUGUAGGGGAGACUGGAAUUCCUGGUGUAGCGGUGAAAUGCGCAGAUAUCAGGAGGAACACCGAUGGCGAAGGCAGGUCUCUGGGCAUUAACUGACGCUGAGGAGCGAAAGCAUGGGGAGCGAACAGGAUUAGAUACCCUGGUAGUCCAUGCCGUAAACGUUGGGCACUGGGUGUGGGGGACAUUCCACGUUUUCCGCGCCGUAGCUAACGCAUUAAGUGCCCCGCCUGGGGAGUACGGCCGCAAGGCUAAAACUCAAAUGAAUUGACGG